rnacentral:rRNA from 1 species
GACGAACGCUGGCGGCGUGCUUAACACAUGCAAGUCGAACGGUGAAGCACCUUCCUUUUGGUGUGUGUGGAUGAGUGGCGAACGGGUGAGUAACACGUGAGUAACCUGCCCCCUUCUUCUGGAUAACCGCAUGAAAGUUUGGCUAAUACGGGUUAUUCUGUGCCUGCUGCAUGGUGGGUGUGGGAAAGAUUCGCUUUUGGGUGUUUUUGGUUGGGGAUGGGCUGGCGGCCUAUCAGCUUGUUGGUGGGGUGAUGGCCUACCAAGGCGGUGACGGGUAGCCGACAUGAGAGGGUGGACGGUCACACUGGGACUGAGACACGGCCCAGACUCGUACGGGAGGCAGCAGUGGGGAAUAUUGCACAAUGGGCGCAAGCCUGAUGCAGCGACGCCGCGUGAGGGAGGGAGGCCUUCGGGUUGUAAACCUCUUUGGCCAGAGAAGCAGACAUGUACCUUGUGGGUGGGUUGACGGUAGCUGGAGAAGAAGCGCCGGCUAACUACGUG